CCUCCGGUGGUGCAGUGGGUCACUGCACAUGGUUCUUAACCAGAAGGUUGGUGGUUCAAGCCCACCCCAGGAGGG